AGCGAACGCUGGCGGCAGGCCUAACACAUGCAAGUCGAACGAAAGCAUCGGAAGUGGUGGCGCACGGGGGUGUCGCGCGUGGGAAGGGGCACUUAGGUUCGGAAUAACUCUUGGAAACGGGUGCUAACACCGAAUAAGUUCUUCUAGCGAAGGAUUUAUCGCCCUUGGUGAGGCACGCGUUUGAUUAGCUAGUUGGUAUGGUAACAGCCCACCAAGGCGACGAUCAGUAGCUGGUCUGAGAGGAUGCCCAGCCACACUGGGACUGAGACACGGCCCAGACUCCUACGGGAGGCAGCAGUGGGUAAUCUUGCGCAAUGGGCGAAAGCCUGACGCAGCCAUGCCGCGUGAAUGAUGAAGGUCUUAGGGUUGUAAAGUUCUUUCACCCGGGACGAUAAUGACGGUACCCGGAGAAUAAGCCCCGGCUAACUUCGUG
rnacentral:rRNA from 1 species